AUGAAUCAUAUUCUCCUUCAAAGAGAUCUUAUUGGUAAAAUUCAGCAGACAUGGGAUAAUAUGUGUUUUCAAGGUAAAUUCAGGAUGAAGAAAGUCUAUAAUAUCUUGGUUAAAGCUCCUGCUAUUGACUGGCAUAAUCUUAUGUUUAAUAAUCCUGCUCAUCUGCGUACUACUAUGAUUUUAUGGUUGGCGUGUCAUAGGAAGUUAGCCACCAAAGAUAGAUUGCAUAGGUUUGGGAAGUUGAACAAUACUUGUUGCAGUUUUCGCUCUAAGGAUGAAUUGACUGAUCACCUUUUUUUAUGA